GAACCGUCCUAACGUUGUUCGGAUUCACUGGGCUUAAAGGGCGCGUAGGCGGGCGAGCAAGUCCGGGGUGAAAUCUUUCGGCUCAACCGGAAAACUGCCUUGGAUACUGCUUGUCUGGAGGGAGGUAGGGGUCUGCGGAACUUCCGGUGGAGCGGUGAAAUGCGUUGAUAUCGGAAGGAACGCCGGUGGCGAAAGCGGCGGACUGGACCUCUUCUGACGCUGAGGCGCGAAAGCUAGGGGAGAGAACGGGAUUAGAUACCCCGGUAUUCCUAGCCCUAAACGAUGGGUACUAGGUAGUGGACUUAACAUGGGUUCACUGCCGAAGCAAAAGUGGUAAGUACCCCGCCUGGGGAGUAUGGUCGCAAGGCUGAA
rnacentral:rRNA from 1 species